rnacentral:rRNA from 1 species
UACGAAGGGGGCUAGCGUUGCUCGGAAUUACUGGGCGUAAAGCGCACGUAGGCGGCUUCUUAAGUCGGUGGUGAAAUCCUGGAGCUCAACUCCAGAACUGCCUUCGAUACUGGGAGCUCGAGUCCGGGAGAGGUGAGUGGAACUGCGAGUGUAGAGGUGAAAUUCGUAGAUAUUCGCAAGAACACCAGUGGCGGAAGGCGGCUCACUGGCCCGGUACUGACGCUGAGGUGCGAAAGCGUGGGGAGCAAACAGGG